rfam:Salmo salar isolate Sally breed double haploid chromosome ssa02, whole genome shotgun sequence.
AGUCCAUAGCUGUGUGGAAGACUAGUGAUUUUGUUGUUAUGUGUCAAAAUUGACAACAAGUCAUGGUCUACCUCAUUGCUUUGAGACA